rnacentral:rRNA from 1 species
GAUGAACGCUGGCGGUCUGCUUAACACGUGCAAGUCGAACGGGCUCUUCGGAGCUAGUGGCGGACGGGUGAGUAACGCGUGAGAAUCUGCCUUCAGGAGGGGGAUAACGACUGGAAACGGUCGCUAAUACCCCAUAUGCCUCUGGGUGAAAAGUAAUUCGCCUGAAGAUGAGCUCGCGUCAGAUUAGCUAGUUUGGUGGGGUAAGAGCCUACCAAGGCGACGAUCUGUAGCUGGUCUGAGAGGAUGAUCAGCCACACUGGGACUGAGACACGGCCCAGACUCCUACGGGAGGCAGCAGUGGGGAAUUUUCCGCAAUGGGGCGCAAGCCUGACGGAGCAAGACCGCGUGGGGGAUGACGGCCUAAUGGUUGUAAACCCCUUUUCUCUGGGAAGAAGACUGACGGUACCAGAGGAAUCAGCCUCGGYUAACUCCGUGCCAGCAGCCGCGGUAAUACGGAGGAGGCAAGCGUUAUCCGGAAUUAUUGGGCGUAAAGCGUCCGUAGGUGGUUAUUCAAGUCUGCUGUCAAAGCGUGGGGCUCAACUCCAUAGAGGCAGUGGAAACUGAGUGACUAGAGUGCGGUAGGGGUCGAGGGAAUUCCCAGUGUAGCGGUGAAAUGCGUAGAUAUUGGGAAGAACACCAGUGGCGAAAGCGCUCGACUGGGCCUGCACUGACACUGUGGGACAAAAGCUAGGGGAGCGAAAGGGAUUAGAUACCCCUGUAGUCCUAGCCGUAAACGAUGGAUACUAGUGUUGCUCGUCAUCGACCCGAGCAGUGCCGU